rnacentral:rRNA from 1 species
GAUGAACGCUGGCGGCGUGCCUAAUACAUGCAAGUCGAGCGAACAGACGAGGAGCUUGCUCCUCUGACGUUAGCGGCGGACGGGUGAGUAACACGUGGAUAACCUACCUAUAAGACUGGGAUAACUUCGGGAAACCGGAGCUAAUACCGGAUAAUAUGUUGAACCGCAUGGUUCAAUAGUGAAAGACGGUUUUGCUGUCACUUAUAGAUGGAUCCGCGCCGCAUUAGCUAGUUGGUAAGGUAACGGCUUACCAAGGCAACGAUGCGUAGCCGACCUGAGAGGGUGAUCGGCCACACUGGAACUGAGACGCGGUCCAGACUCCUACGGGAGGCAGCAGUAGGGAAUCUUCCGCAAUGGGCGAAAGCCUGACGGAGCAACGCCGCGUGAGUGAUGAAGGUCUUCGGAUCGUAAAACUCUGUUAUUAGGGAAGAACAAAUGUGUAAGUAACUAUGCACGUCUUGACGGUACCUAAUCAGAAAGCCACGGCUAACUACGUG